rnacentral:rRNA from 1 species
AGUGAACGCUGGCGGUAGGCCUAACACAUGCAAGUCGAACGGCAGCACAGUAAGAGCUUGCUCUUACGGGUGGCGAGUGGCGGACGGGUGAGGAAUACAUCGGAAUCUACUUUUUCGUGGGUGAUAACGUAGGGAAACUUACGCUAAUACCGCAUACGACCUACGGGUGAAAGCAGGGGAUCUUCGGACCUUGCGCGAUUGAAUGAGCCGAUGUCGGAUUAGCUAGUUGGCGGGGUAAAGGCCCACCAAGGCGACGAUCCGUAGCUGGUCUGAGAGGAUGAUCAGCCACACUGGAACUGAGACACGGUCCAGACUCCUACGGGAGGCAGCAGUGGGGAAUAUUGGACAAUGGGCGAAAGCCUGAUCCAGCCAUACCGCGUGGGUGAAGAAGGCCUUCGGGUUGUAAAGCCCUUUUGUUGGGAAAGAAAAGCAGCAGGUUAAUACCCCGCUGUUCUGACGGUACCAACAGAAUAAGCACCGGCUAACUUCGUG